UGGCAAGGUUUUCUCCAUCCAUUUCCACCACUUUCUUCACCAUUUCUGCACCAACUUUCAGAGGAAUUUCAAAGGGAAGAAGGCUGAGAAAGGAAGAAGAAGAAGUUCAAGAAGUUUUGUUGAAGAAAGACAAGGGAAUUGCAAGCAAAUCUUCAUCCUUGGCAGAAAUUGAUUCACACAGCACACCUCUAAUGUUCUGUUGAUUCCAAGCUACACAAAAAAAAUUAAGAGGAGUCAUGCCACUAUGUACUAGUAGACGACGGAGGCAGAAUCAGAACGGGAUGCAAGGUGCUACCCAAGGUCAGUCUGUAGGGGAAUCUAGUACCCCAAGAGUUCGAGGUGGAGCAGAAAACAAGCAGUUUGCGAGAACUGUACAUGAGAUAGGAAGGCUAGAGAGAGCAGAGCCUAGUGAUCCAGAAAAGGCAUACAUAAUUGAACAGCUGAAGAAGUUAAGAGCUAAACUGUUUGAGGGUUCCACAGAUCCAGCUGAUGGAGAGAACAUGUUGAAUAUGCUUGAAAAGUGUUUUGAUGUGAUGAAUUGUCCUGAGGAGCGGAAGGUUACAUUGGCCACAUUUUUGUUGCAAAAGGAGGCUGAAGGAUGGUGAAAAUCUAUUUUAGGUAGGCACAGUGAUGCACGUAUUUUAGACUGGCAGACUUUUAGAGGCAUAUUCGAAAAUAAGUAUUGUCCCAGCACAUACUGCGAGGCCAAUAGGGAUGAGUUUCUGGGAUUGAAACAAGGAUUACUUUCAGUGGCUGAGUAUGAGACGAAGUAUACCGAGCUUUCACAGUAUGCUAACAUUAUUGUGGCUUCUGAGAGUAACAAGUGCCAAAGGUUUGAAAGAGGGUUGCGUUUUGAAAUACGUACCUCAGUAACAACCAUUGCUAAGUGGAUGAAUUUUUCUCAAUUAGUGGAGAAUGCCCUUUUGGUGGAGCAGAGUAUAACAGAAGAGAAAUCAGCAAUGGAGCUUAGUCGUGGUAGUGUUUUUCAUAGACAAAGCCAGAGAAUACCUAGUCAACCCACUAGAUCAACAAUAAGAUCGCAACCAGGUCAGGAGUCUAUUGCUAGUAUUGUCAGGCAAACCCCAUGCACGAGUUGCGGUAAGAACCAUCGAGGUCAAUGUUUAGUGGGUGCUGGUGUGUGCUACCAGUGUGGACAGUGAGGACAUUUCAAGAAAGAUUGUCCGCAUAUGAACAUGACAGUUCAGAGAGAUUAGGGAGUUGGGUUCGAGACAGUUGAGCAAUCGAGAGUCUCAGUGGUUUCAACAGAUGGCACCAGUGGUGGAAGGCAAAAGGGAGUUGUUGGAAGACCUAGACAACAAGGAAAGGUCUAUGCUAUGACUCAACAAGAAGCGGAGGAUGCACCAGACGUUGAUACUGGUAGAGAUCGAGUUCCCGGUGCCUGAUAGACUGCCUUAGUCUAUUGAAGUUUCGAUAUCGAUUACCAAUAUGUUGUUAGAGUUGUGCAUAGAGUCUGUUGUAUUAUAAUGUAUAUAUAUUUGUAUGAUAUAGAUACUCCACAGUUUGUGUAAGCUUUAGGAGCUGCGGUUGUAUAAACCUUUGUUGGUUAUAUUUUGGUUAAGGUGCUCUAGGUUUACUUGUGAAAUUAGUUAUUUCCGAAAUACAUUUCGUGCAUGUAUAUGAUUAGUUUAGGAUUCGCUACAU